CUGAUAUUGAACUAGUAAGUUAUAGUAAAUUGUUAACAAUUGCUGUGAACAAACAACAUCAUCAUUCAACUAACGUUCAACUACAGCUUCUUCAUUUGAGGACCUGGUAUAUAAUUCCAGAACCUUAUUUAAAGAGAUGCAUUACCCAUGUUGAAUAACGCAUCAUUAAUCUUUAUCUUCUAGUUUUAUUUUUCAAAGAGUAAUAGUCCAAGAUACACAGCAAAUGAUGUGUCAAAAUCAGAGGGAUGCCUAUGUUGUACAGUAACUUUCUGGGUUUUUGAUGGUAAUUGCAC
rnacentral:lncRNA from 1 species